UUUGUUAUUGCUAGGAUACGCCAUUCUCGCAUUUUCACAUGCGAGAGUAGUGGAAAUCAAGGCGUUAUACUAUAGGUGGACCGCAAUGUCAAAAUUGCUGUUCGGCCAUUGCUCGUGAAAAAACAAAUUUGUUUACAAAGCAAAUCAUAUCUUUUGGUGACAAAUGCAUUCGUUGGCAAAAUAGCUGCUCGAGCUUCACUGUAGGCAGAUAUCUACAAUCAGCGGUCGAAUUAAAAACAGUGCAGAAGGAUGUUUUGAGUAUAUUUUACCUUCUAGCCGCGCAAUCAAUGCUUUUCUUUCCAAGCAAGCAGCGUUUUUCGGCAAAAGCAUGAAAUAGAAUCGUACGUGGUACGAAUCAUCAAAACAUCAAACAAUCAUCAUGGCAUCAUCAAACGGAAACUACGCGAAAAAUUUUUCGAAGAGAUAAAACUGCGCCGCAACACUCGUGUCAAAAUGGACGAGUUGGGCUGGGUGCUGAUGAACCACGAUUUGAUAACACGUAAUGAGCCAAUCCAACAGCAUGCCAAUGGUAAUCGACCAAAUCAUUUUGAAUUGAACAUGGAGCGGUUGCGAAACCUACUGGAGCAGCAUGAACAGAACAAUCACGCUGAGUUGACUUCCAAAAAGCAAAACAAAUUCCUGCGUAUGCUGGAUGCAAUUUUAAAAACGACAAAGUUUUGAAGGAAGUUAAAGAGAUGGUAGCGGCGAAUCGACUUCUAUCGGAAAUUCGUUAUGUGACUACGGUGGAACGUAUGCUGAAACACAAUUUGGACCCCUCUUUGCGCUGUUGCUUUGUAUGCCGAGAGUAUUUCCGCACUGCCGAUGAGUAUACCAGUCAUUUCGACAAAUUGCACGGUGAGAAAUUUCUUAUUGUUGCGGCGGUGGAUCGAUUUCAGACUAGUCAAAAGUUCAACGUUCUACAUCACUACAAUGCCCUUAAUCCGGUGACAAUAUUCACGAUUUGCAACGUAUACCACACAGCCCUAAUAAAAUAAAAACAAGAAAAGACGGGUCUAAUAUUUUAUAAUAAAGAACAAAUCUACCACUUUCCACGAAAAUCGGAGAACCACUAUAUCGGUUUGACAUGGAAUGGCUGAUACAUAUAAGGCAGAAAAAAAGGUUUAACUUUCGAAUUCAACAUCCUAUAUUUCCUCGUACCAUUAAGUUCAUGGCGCAUUUGAUGUCGGUCAUCGUAGCUGCUGCUAUGGAAAUGACGUGAGCAUAUACCUUGAUUUUUCUGAGGUUUCCAAUCCUUCGAUUGGCCACAGAAAGUAUCCAUUUAUGAAGUCUAUCUCCAUCUCGGAGAAAAGUGUGGUAAACAAUAU